rnacentral:tRNA from 2 species
GUCUCCAUCGACUAGUGGUUAAGUCAUCGGUCUCAUAAUCCGGAAAGCGGAGUUCGAUUCUCCGUGGGGACA